UUUAAAAACAAUGUGUACCUGCCAAAAUACUGAGUUUGUUUGAAAUUAAAGUUAAUAAUUAUGAUUUUCAGGGUAAAGAAAUGUUUAAAAACAAAGUGGUCAGAACUAAUUCACUAAGGAAUAGUAUUUUUGUUCAGGGGGUUAAUGUGGAAUUUAUCAUCCGAUGAUCUGAAGAAUGCAAACUCCAUAUAUCAGUUUAAGAAAAUGUAUACAUUUAAAAUAUAUCAAAAAUACCUUCUGGACUGAGAGACUCUGGUGGUUGUAAGUAAUUUUGAGAAGUGUUUGUGUUUGUUUUUGUCCUCUUCUUUUUUUUCUUUUUUAAGGUUCUAUCAAUUUGUAGGUAGAUGUGAUGUUUGUAAUCAAGGUCGGGGAAAUAAGCCUUGGCUUCACCCAACACCUUUUUAGGUUAAUUUUGUUCAGUGUCAAUGUUUAUGUUGAUGUUUUAAGUUUGUGUGUUUAACAUAACCGAAAUAAAUGUCUCUAAAACAAAAUAAUAAACUAAUGCGUUUAGAUAAUGUAAAUGAUGAUGUAUACAUUUUUGCAAACAUUUGCUUACAGAGCAAAUCUUCAGGAGGUCAAAUCACAAAACGUUUUUAUCAUUUAUGAAGCAUGGUGUGGCGAGGAGGCAAAACAUUUGUGGAUGCAUGAUAGUCAGAAGACUGACAUGACAAACAUCUUCCUUUAAUUUAUGUGAAUUCUGCCCCCAUGGGAGCUCCUGUUGGAAUUGUGGGGCAGUUCCUGGAGGUUCCGUGUGAAAGCUCUCCAACCCAAAUGAAGAUAUUCUCAGACGGUUCCUGUUCCAGUCAAAACACAGGAGGUGAAGGUGGCGCCCCGACUCAGAGGAGGAACUGAAACAAGUUUUGCUGGAGACAAAGAUGAGAAGGAGGACCUCAGCUGAAGAUGACUCUUUUAGCCAAAGAACUUCAUCAAAAGACUCAGCUCUCCUUUGACUGCCGGACCGUCUGCUCUGGAGCCACGAGGAAGAGUCCUGAUGAAGACAGAAAGUAAUAUCCCAGCAGCACAUGAGGUCAGGCGCUGCCUUUGAGAGUCAAAAUGGGGAAAAGUUCGAGUGCCGGUCAGGAGACGGGGCCGGUCUGUACGCCUGAGUGGGGGUUCAGAAGUUCAGUGGGUGUUUUUGGAGAACGCACGGACAUCUGCAGAAACGCAGAUGUCUGCAGGCGGGCUGCACUUCAGGAAUGAAACCAUCGGUCCUGAAGGCGAGGAUCAAACUUCAGAGGCAUCUGUCUUUUGAGCUCAUUCUAACCAGACGAAUGGACGUCACCUCCCCAUGAGAGGACGCAAGGUGACUCACCAUUGUGCUGGUGGUUUUCCCAUGAUGCAGUGUGACUGUAAAGUACAGAAAAGUGGACGUGGGUUGGGGGUGGGGGGGGUGCUCCUGUGUGAAUCCGGCUGCCCGUGCAAUCAGCCGCUGCCCUUCCCGUGACCCCCCCUGUAGGUCCUGACACAAUAACACACUUGUCUUUCACUCAAUCCUUGAACCCCUUCCUCACCGCACCCCCACCCUCCACGAUCACUGCUCCACAUCUCAGAAAAACACCAGCAGGAGCAAGAAGAAGCAGCCAUACCUUCAGUUUGGAGAUAAAAGCUGCAGGGUGUUUAUCUCGGCCCCCAAACGCCCCCAGACCUUUCUGUUGUUGUUUUCAUAACUGUGAUGACAGAAAUAAUCUCUGUUAGCAUCAUUAUCAGCCCCCCCCCCCAUCCCAGCAGUUCAUUUCCCUCCUGGACUCGAACAGUAAUAAGAAGCAGACGGUCGCUCCUCAGCAGCCCAGCCAAGUCCAGGUUAACAGUGCCAUCUACAGUGGACACCAUUCCCCCUCAGGACUGGUGCUGCUUACUCGGCAGAAUGGAGCUCUGCUCCCUUCAAGCUGCACAAGUCUGAUUCUUACUGAGGGUCAGACUCUCAGGGAGAAGAUGAGCAGCAGCGCCCUCAUGUCCUCAUGAGAACAAACAUGUCCAUUUGUUCAGCUCUGUGGGCUGAAUGAGGAGACAAUGGCUAAGAAGGUACACUGAUAAGUGUUUAUCUCAUAUGGACACAUAUAUCACUUUAAAAGUUGUUUUAAUAAGCCUGCAUUCAUCCAACCACAUUCUAAUAAGUUGCUGUGUUUGAUCGUCACGGUUCCUGCCUUCCUUCCUUCUCCACAUCCCAUAAUGCCAGGCUACAGUGGCCGUUUUGGUUCAGUUGUUCCACUCCAAGGAUGGAUUGUAUUCAGACGGUAGAAUCUCAGAGUGAACUGAAGCUCAGUCUAAUUGGGAACAAACCAAGGCCACCUCCAAAAAUGGGUCCGAGAGCGGCUCCUUGUCCCAGACCAGGGUCUGCUUGGGUUUAUUCAGACUCAAAAUUUGUUCAGACUUAUCGGUGAAAUGAACUCUGGUUCACUUUAAGAGAACCAAAUGUGUCCAGUCUGAAUACACCCUAAAAAUAAAAUCAAUAAUCCUCACAAUGCAGGUAUCCCAGAGUCAGUUUGUUUUUUCAUGAGCUGCAAACAAGAUUUGAUGUUAUUGUCAAUAUGCUGAUGCGACUAACGUGCAGCGGUGUCAAUUUGUGUUUUUUUUUUACGUUGCAAACAAGGUUGGGAGUUACAGGUAUUGUGAAUAGUCUGUCAGAAAGUUCUAGGUAAAGAUCUUCCCAGUCUCAUCUUAUAAACAGGAAUUUGACUGACAGGUUCAGAUGUAGAAAACAGCUGUCCUAUUUGAAUCUUUGUUGUCAGGUCUGGAAAAGAUGUAUUAACUUGACCAUUUGAUGCAAAAAUCAGAAAAAAGACAAACCUAACACGUUUCUGCUCAGCCUUUAUGCUGCUCUCCCUGAUCCUCUGAACCUCUAACAAGAACUGUCGACAUUUACCUCUGGGUUUUCCCUGCUCGGAGUGCAAUGGCAUUGAGUGGGAAAGUGUUAAUCCCAUAGCAGUAUCAGGAUUAGCCUGGUGAGGCAGGUGACUCCAGGGGCAAAGAGCUCAUUGGUUGCAUGAAAUAGAGAGUGAGGGCAUUCCCAAACUCAUUAUUGUUUCGUUUUUUGUCCCCCACCCAACAUUCAUUCUCCGUCUGGAAGACCUCUGAAGAAAGGAUUAACAGACAACAUUGAACUACUUCCCCCAACUCAGCCUCACACCACAGCAGUCCUCUGCCUGCAUCAUCUACUGACUGUUUAGUUCUGCUGCAUUUUCAGUUCUGCUGCAUGAUUGUGUCAUGAUCCUGAGCCAAUCCACCAGGGGAUCUUUCAGGAAGCAUGUUUAAACUACCCUGACUUUGAGCCUGAACUCCGGCUGAAAUCCGCCUGAACUUGCUUACUCUGGGUAUGUCGGUUCCAAAAGACCGGAUA